GACGAACGCUGGCGGCGUGCUUAACACAUGCAAGUCGAACGGAAAGGCCCUGCUUUUGUGGGGUGCUCGAGUGGCGAACGGGUGAGUAACACGUGAGUAACCUGCCCUUGACUUUGGGAUAACUUCAGGAAACUGGGGCUAAUACCGGAUAGGAGCUCCUGCUGCAUGGUGGGGGUUGGAAAGUUUCGGCGGUUGGGGCUGGACUCGCGGCUUAUCAGCUUGUUGGUGGGGUAGUGGCUUACCAAGGCUUUGACGGGUAGCCGGCCUGAGAGGGUGACCGGCCACAUUGGGACUGAGAUACGGCCCAGAAUGCUACGGGAGGCAGCAGUGGGGAAUAUUGCGCAAUGGGCGGAAGCCUGAUGCAGCAACGCCGCGUGCGGGAUAACGGCCUUCGGGUUGUAAACCGCUUUCGCAUGUGACGAAGCGUGAGUGACGGUAAUGGGUAAAGAAGCACCGGCUAACUACGUG
rnacentral:rRNA from 1 species